GCCGAAAUAGCUCAGUUGGGAGAGCGUUAGACUGAAGAUCUAAAGGUCCCCGUUUCAAUCCUGGGUUUUUGGCA